GCGACUCGGCCCGGCCGGCUCCUAGAUACCUUUGUCGCGAGCCGGGCCUCCACAGCGUUGUUCGCGAGGUCGAGCUUGGGCUCCAACAGGGCUGAGCGCGUGUCCUUCGGAGUCUGAGUGGCCGGAAGGAGAGCGGUGGAGGGCCUCCGGGUGGAGGACACCGGGCUGCCCAGCUGUAGGGUCGUGCGCGUGUUCCCGGGCCUCGGGGUGGACUAGAGCUGUGGACCCCCGGCCCCUAGUGCGUUCGUCGCGCCAUUUUCCCACGGUCGUCACUUGGCGCCGGAGGGGAGGAAGUCGCCAUGGAGCCUAAGGACAGAGGUGAGAAUUUCAGAAGGAUGCCGCCUGCUGGAGAGAAAAAAGGAGAAAGGCUGCCCUCUGGCUGGGGCAAGCUCUGGAAGGACAAGCAUCACAUCUUCUCUGGGAGAGAGACCAUUCCUACCAGCUGGUCUCAUGUUGGGGUUUAAGGGGAGCCCGCUACCUACAUUGCCCUGCUGGUCUUUAGGAUGAUGUAUACCUCUUUUGCCACCCCCCCCCAAAUCACCAUAUCUGACAAUUUGGCUUUUGAUAAUGACUUUCUUUUGUUCUCACAGGAACCUCGUAAGGCGGUUAUGGAGGAAGGAGACUAUCAAAUAGACCCAUUUGGCAGAUGGGGAAAGUGAGGAUUCGAGAAGUCACAGGAUUUAUUUAGAGUGCUUGGAUUUUUUUCCCCACAGGCCCAUUGCUCUUCUGAGAAAGCCAGUUUUGUAUCUGAAAAGACAAUGUUCAAAAAGAAUUUAACUAGUCUUUCAUCCUGUGAGCCUGGAAUAGAACAGGAGUGACUCAUUGAGGCACGGAUUGACACACCGAGAUUAUUUGAGAUUAUUUUGACGAUACUCAGCAGAUGAGAAAUGGAAAUAUGUAUUUAAGUGUCCAGGAUCUCGUAGCAGAGUUCUACUGGAGUUUAAGGGUAGAGGAGCAUAGGAGGAACCUGAGGCAGCCAUGGUCAUGGCUGUCUUGUAUAAGAGAUGUUGUGGGAUUGUCCCUUGGUUCCCUGUGUUGACUCUUCUCAGGUGACAAGUAGUUGUGUGUGGCAGUUUCUGUGAGUGUACUGCAAGCAAGAGUAAUCACUGGGGCUCCCAUUUCCACUUCUAGGGUCACUUUCUGAGAAUUCAGACCUUCCCCAUGCUGGAAACCCAAAAGAAAAUGGCCUGACCUCUGUGCUGCUGACCCCUGCAUACCAGAGUCAGGUCUGUAAAGUCGUUGCCAUGGAGAUGACUGGAGGCCGAAGGAUGGGGGAGCAGAACACGACCUGCUGUGGGGAGAUACCCCUGACCCCGGCUUCUUGGCCAGGAAGAAGGAGGGCCCCGUGCCUUUGAGUUGGGGUUCCUUCUGACUGUGUGCUGAGGCUGACUUGCAGGAUCUUAGUUCCCUGACCAGAUUGAAUCCACGCCCUUGGCCGUGAAAGCGCGGAGUCCUAAACACUGGACCACCAAGGAAUUCCCGUGCUGCUACCUCUCGAUGCCAAACUUCUGUCCACCGAAGGUUUGCCACCUCAUUGCCUUACACUGACUCUGAUGUGUGUGUCUGGACUCCAUACAUCCUGCCGGGUCCCCAGUUUAGUCUAGAUCCUUGGUCCCAGUGUAUUCCCUUAGCUCUUCCUCUCGUUGAGCUAUCCUGCUGACACCCACAUCCCUGCUUUGUCCCGCCUCCUUUCGAAGGGCCCAGUCUGCUUUGGGGUGCAGUGCCCUCAUCACCAAAGUGUGCUCCUGGCCUGGCCAUCCUCGAGCAGUCCCCUUCCCAGCUUGCAGUCAUUCAUCCCACGGGUCACCUCGCGGGGCAUCAGCGUUCACCCCAGCUGCCCCUCCAUCGAUGCCCUGAUGUUCUCCAUCUCUUGGGUUUGCACCCUCCCUCCCUCUGGGCCAGAAAGACCCCGGCUCUGUCUCAAUCCUGGAAACGGGCACCCUUGCCUCUCGUCCCCGGCCUGCCUCAUCUGUGGGAACGAUGCUGUCUGGGCCAGAACUCGCCCUGCUGCAAUCAGUGGAAGUCAGCCGUCACUGUGUGGGGAUGAGGGGCCAACCUCAGCAAUCAGGCAAGACCAAACCUCCCUUUUGCAUUUGCGGAAACUGUGGUCCUAAGAGGUUAAUGAGUCUGAAGUGAGAGGCCGGAACCCAGAGCCGACCUCCCUGAGUGUGACAGACGUGUCCUUGAAGUGUCACCUGCUGUGUACACGGAGGGCGCUCAUAUCCCAGCUCGAACAGAAUCCUUUGACGACAGUACCCUCAGAUUACAAGUUGGGGUUUUCAAUACCAGGACCUGAGACAGGAGGAAGACUUAAGACAGCACAGUGGAGGAAGGGCCUGAGGACAGACAGAGCCCCAGAGAAACUUCCCCUGGCGAGAGCUGAGCGGGUUGCUAGGAACACGAUGACUGACAUUUCAGUUUGAGGAUUUUUUCCUUCGUCUGCGGCAGUCACCUUCCUUUACCCCCUAGCUCUUAGUCAGAGAUCUUUACAUAAUUGUUUUAGUGGUGAGUCAGGGAUGAAGAAAAAAGGCCGGCUCCCCAGAUGCCAGGUGAUGACUGCUGCAAGGUGAACAGGGGCCCUGAGAUAUAGUCCUCCUUUGCUCCAAGGCCUCCAACAGAGAAGUGACCUUGAAAGGGAGUGGGGGCGGAUGGUGCAGGGCAGGAGUUGAGCCGUAUGACCGGGACAGGAGAGGAGAGGAGGAGCUGGGGACCUCCAGGCAGCAGUCCCUGCUCAGGGGUCCAGUCCCUGGGCUGCAGCUGGCAGGAUGGGCCCCAAUGCAAGACCUGCAGCUCCCCUGCGCCUUGAAGGCUUUGCCUGGAGCUGUUGUACCCGCCAUGCAUGCUGUACUACAUUUGAGUCCCAGCAGAGUCAAACACGAGUGAAAGGGGAAGGGAAAGACACGAAUGAUGUGGCUUGGGUUUGCAAGCACAGGGUCCUAUUCUGAUACAAUUUAGGGAUGAAUGUUUACGUUUUCUUCAGUACUGUAUAAUUCGGUCUUAAAAUACUUCCACUGCUCGGGGACUAGGAGAGUAGAACCCAAACGUAUUGGGCAGCUAGACGUAACACAUUAUUCUGCGGGUUAAAGGAAAACACACUUUCUGAACUGUGCUCUGAAAACAAAGGCAUCUGUAGUCAAAUAUGCUUGGAGCACCCAGGGUAGCCGUGAAAGCUGGAUCUACCCAGUGUCCACACCCCACUUCUUCCUGAGCCACAGAACCCUGGCUUUAUUCCAGGCACAGAGCACCCAGCCCAAAGAGCAAGUUCCCAGCCUCCCUGUAGCUCUGUGUGGCCUUCUGAUCAAGCGCUGGUCAAUGAAAUGUAAA